rnacentral:rRNA from 1 species
GUUGUUUUCUCGAAAAUCAAUUAAAAAAGGCUGGAUUUUGUGUUGUAUUGACUUUAUCAGCUUUCUGCACUCUUUUCUUGUCUUUUUUAAUGCACUUUUCGUUUAACAAGUCAACAUCAAUUUCUUUUGUUGUAAAAGGGUCAUUGGAAGGUGGCUUUCUUUUCGGAGAAAGUGUUUAUAGCCUUUGGCCUCUGCAAUCGGAGAGAUUGAGGUCUGCAGCGUAGAUCCUUCGGGGUUAGAUACAUUUGUGCUAAGUUAUAGCCUUUCAUAGACAACUUGUUGACUAUGAUCAGUCAUGUAGCUUACUCGCUUAUGCUAUUUUACCUAC